rnacentral:rRNA from 1 species
GCGGAGGGAUCAUUACUGAGUUACCGCUCUAUAACCCUUUGUGAACAUACCUAACCGUUGCUUCGGCGGGCAGGGGAAGCCUCUCGCGGGCCUCCCCUCCCGGCGCCGGCCCCCACCACGGGGACGGGGCGCCCGCCGGAGGAAACCAAACUCUAUUUACACGACGUCUCUUCUGAGUGGCACAAGCAAAUAAUUAAAACUUUUAACAACGGAUCUCUUGGUUCUGGCAUCGAUGAAGAACGCAGCGAAAUGCGAUAAGUAAUGUGAAUUGCAGAAUUCAGUGAAUCAUCGAAUCUUUGAACGCACAUUGCGCUCGCCAGCAUUCUGGCGAGCAUGCCUGUUCGAGCGUCAUUUCAACCCUCAAGCACCGCUUGGUUUUGGGGCCCCACGGCACACGUGGGCCCUUAAAGGUAGUGGCGGACCCUCCCGGAGCCUCCUUUGCGUAGUAACUAACGUCUCGCACUGGGAUCCGGAGGGACUCUUGCCGUAAAACCCCCAAAUUCUUUACAGGUUGACCUCGGAUCAG